AGUGAACGCUGGCGGCAGGCCUAAUACAUGCAAGUCGAACGGCAGCACAGUAAGAGCUUGCUCUUACGGGUGGCGAGUGGCGGAUGGGUGAGGAAUACAUCGGAAUCUACUUUUUCGUGGGGGAUAACGUAGGGAAACAUACGCUAAUACCGCAUAUGACCUACGGGUGAAAGCAGUGGAUCUUCGGACCUUGCGCGACUGAAUGAGCCGAUGUCGGAUUAGCUAGUUGGCGGGGUAAAGGCCCACCAAGGCGACGAUCCGUAGCUGGACUGAGAGGAUGAUCGGCCACACUGGAACUGAGACACGGUCCAGACUCCUACGGGAGGCAGCAGUGGGGAAUCUUGCACAAUGGGCGAAAGCCUGAUCCAGCAAUGCCGCGUGGGUGAAGAAGGCCUUCGGGUUGUAAAGCCCUUUUGUUAGGGAAGAAAAGCAGCAGGAUAAUCUCCCGCUGUUUUGACGGUACCCAAAGAGAAAGCACCGGCUAACUUCGUG
rnacentral:rRNA from 1 species